rnacentral:rRNA from 1 species
GCGCGAAACCUCUACAAUGCUCGCAAGAGUGAUAGGGGAACUCCGAGUGGCGUCAACUUAGUUGGCGUCUUUUGCCAAGUGUACAAAGCUUGGCGAAUAAGGGUGUGGGAAAGACUGGUGGCAGCCGCCGCGGUAACACCAGCGCCUCGAGUGGUACCCACGAAUACUGGGCCUAAAGCGUCCGUAGCCGGCUUGAUAAGUCCUCUGUGAAAUAGUGGGGCUUAACCCUACUGCGCGCAGGGGAUACUGUUGAGCUUGGGAACGGGGGAGGUCGGGAGUACAUCCGGGGUAGGGGUAAAAUCCGUUGAGCCUGGAUGGACUACCAGUGGCGAAGGCGCCCGGCCAAAACGUGUCCGACGGUGAGGGACGAAAGCUGGGGGAGCGAACGGG